CAUUUGCCAAGGAUGUUUUCAUUGAUCAAGAACGAAGGAAGGGGGAUCGAAAACGAUCAGAUACCGUUGUAGUCUCUUCUGUAAACUAUGCCAAUUGGGGAUUAGCUCAGGAUUUUUAAUGACUGAGUUAGCACCCGAAGAGAAAUCUUUAAAUGAGGUUCGGGGGGGAGUAUGGUCGCAAGGCUGGAACUUAAAGAAAUUGACGGAAGG
rnacentral:rRNA from 1 species